GCCUUGGUAGCUCAGCUGGAUAGAGCAACGGUUUUCUAAACCGUGGGUCAGGGGUUCGAGUCCCUUCCAGGGUA
rfam:Pedobacter africanus strain DSM 12126 genome assembly, contig: Ga0070588_101